CCAGGCUGGCCUCAAACUCAGAAAUCUGCCUGCCUCUGCCUCCCCAGUACUGGGAUUAAAGGCGUGUGCCACCACACCUGGCUACAUGGUAAAUUUUACGUUGUUAUUCUUUGAUACAUAUAAUUUUAAAUAUUUGUUCAGUUUCUUUGAUGAUAAAAUUAUGUCCACAAAUAGUCAAUAAGAAGACAUAAUUCCCAGUCCCUUGAUUAGUAUUUUUUUAAAAAUUAUCUAUGUCUGUUUUGAAAGUAUAAUAAAUAAAAUAUCUGAAAUGCCAUGAGUUUUACAGCAAGAGAUAAUGAAAACAUUUAUGUCCUAGCAGAGAGCAUCCAUGAACUCUACAGGGGAUACAUAGAUUUCUUCAUGGUAAGUUUGUGUAUUUGUUUCUUGAUCAGUAGAGUCCAACAGAAGGCCUGAAACAAAAGAGACGCUCAAAACGAAAUUGAUUAAAAGUGUGGAUGUAAAUUUUUUUGAUCAUCUUUUCUGUUUGGAAAAUGGUAAAGGAAACUGUAUCAAAAGUGCUCAGAAAUCUAACAUAAUUUUAGAUUUAGAGUUGGCAACUUUCCAGAGGCACCCUGAAGAGCAAGAGAAACAGAAGGGCUACUGCUUCUUGUGUAACUGCUUGUGCUUACUAGAGUAGCAUAUACAUAACUAUAUACAUAUGUGUGUGUGUGUGUGUGUGUGUGUAUGUGUAUAUAUAUAUAUAUGCAUAUAUAAAACAUAUAUGUGUGUGGUUGAAACUAUACUACAUAAAAACAUUCUGUUUAUAUGUGGAUAAUUCAUUAUCUAAUUUAGUCAUAUAAAAAUAUUUAUCAACAGAAAAAUUCUCUACAAGUGAAUUUCCCUUACCUAUAAAAUUAACUGACCAUAAUGUAAGUUUAGAGUGAAACUUCACAAGAAUGUUAACUUUUUCAGUUUAAGUACUUCUGAUUUUUUGUGAGUUUGUCUUGGUUUAUGAAAUCUGCAAAGAGAUAGGAAUCUUGAAGAAAUAAGAGUGUAUCAUCGGAAUAAAAACUAUAUCACAUAUAAACAAAUACGCAAAAUAAAGGGGCCCUUGGGAGCAUGGGAAUGAGGAAAGGCAUGUAUUUUUAUUUUAUUUUUAUAUAUUUCUUAAUUUUAUGGAUUUAUUUCUAAGUAACUAGCUGUUCCAAUUAGAAAAGUGAAAGGAAAUCUGUAACAUUUUCUGUGAAUAUGAUUACAAUACUAAGGUGACUGGACCUCAGAAAUUCUACUAAAAUUAAUUGUUGAUUUUCAUCAUUCUUGAUUUCUUAUUUACAACAAUCCAUUUUAGUGCCGUGGCAUAUUAAUGGAAAAACAAAUAUCCAACACAAGUUCAUAAAAAAGUUAAAAGAAAAAACAAAUGCAAAAGAAAACUCAGAAGACAUAAAAAAAUUCCCUUUAGAAGACAAUGUGCUGUUCCCUUGGAGUACCCCACCACCUGCACUUGCGGCUAAUGAAAUUAAACAUGUGAAUGACUUCCCAUAUCAUCAUAUCAUUAGCAUAUUAAUUUGGAAAUUCUCCACAAUGUAAAUUAAAGUGAAGGAGACAGUUGUUCUGAAACUAAUGUUCAAUUUUCAUAUUU
rnacentral:lncRNA from 1 species